rnacentral:rRNA from 1 species
GACGAACGCUGGCGGCGUGCCUAAUACAUGCAAGUUGAGCGCUGAAGGUUGGUACUUGUCCCGACUGGAUGAGCAGCGAACGGGUGAGUAACGCGUGGGGAAUCUGCCUUUGAGCGGGGGACAACAUUUGGAAACGAAUGCUAAUACCGCAUAAAAACUUUAAACACAAGUUUUAAGUUUGAAAGAUGCAAUUGCAUCACUCAAAGAUGAUCCCGCGUUGUAUUAGCUAGUUGGUGAGGUAAAGGCUCACCAAGGCGUUGAUACAUAGCCGACCUGAGAGGGUGAUCGGCCACAUUGGGACUGAGACACGGCCCAAACUCCUACGGGAGGCAGCAGUAGGGAAUCUUCGGCAAUGGACGAAAGUCUGACCGAGCAACGCCGCGUGAGUGAAGAAGGUUUUCGGAUCGUAAAACUCUGUUGGUAGAGAAGAACGUUGGUGAGAGUGGAAAGCUCAUCAAGUGACGGUAACUACCCAGAAAGGGACGGCUAACUACGUG